GAGGGUAUAGUUCAGUGGUAGAGUGCAGGCUUAGCAUGCACAAGGUCCUGGGUUCAAGCCCCAGUACAUCCA
rfam:Camelus ferus unplaced genomic scaffold scaffold340, whole genome shotgun sequence.